rnacentral:lncRNA from 10 species
CAGAGACACACACAGACACCCAUCAGAGACACACACAGACACCCAUCAUAGACGUGCACACAGAGAUACACACAGACACCCAUCAUAGACACACACAGAGACAAACACACCCAUCAUAGACACACACACAGAGACACACACACAGAGAUACACACACCCAUCAUAGACAUACACACAGAGACACACAGAGGUACACACACCCAUCAUAGACACACACACAGAGACACACACACAGAGAUACACACAGACACACAUUAUAGACACACACAGGCACACAUGCAGAGACACACACAGACACACACACACAGACAUACACACAGAGACACACACACAAAGACACACACAGACACACAUAGGCACAUACACAAAGACACACAUAGACACACAUUAUAGACACAGACACACACAGAGACACACACAGAAACACAUGCAGACAUACACACAGACAUACACAAACACACACAGACAUACACAGAUUCAUAUCAUAGAUACACAUACAGACGCACAGACACACACACAUAGACAUAUCACAUACAUGCACAUAGACACACAUCAUAGACACACACACACAGGCACACACAAAGACACACACAGAAACACACACAGACACACAUCAUAGACACACACAGAGACACACACACAGACACACAUAUAUAGACACAUACACACAGAGACACACACAGAGACACACACAGACACACACACAGAGACACACACAGACACACAUAUAUAGACACACACAGAGACACACACACACAGAGACACACAGACACACAUACAUAGACACAUACACACAGAGACCCACACACAGAGACAUACACAGAGACACACAGAGACACAGAAACACACACACAGAGACACACACAGAGAUACACACGGAGACACAUGGAGGAGAAGGCCCUGUGCGGGGAAGGCUGAGACUGGAGUGAUGUGUACUGGCCA